UCAUCACUUUGUUUUCGGUUAUAAAUAAAACAAUGCGAUAUGUAUUAGUAUUACCUUGUAGCAGAAAACACGGUUAUGAGUUGUCAUCCAGCAAAUCUUUCGAAUCCAUCUAUCACACACAUUUAUGCGUUCUUAUAACUGUGUCUUUGUGAAUCAUUUCAUAAUCCCUUCACUAUAUCAAGCUACAUAUAUAUAACAAAAUUAU